GCAAGUCGAACGGCAGCAUGAUAAGAGCUUGCUCUAUUGAUGGCGAGUGGCGGACGGGUGAGUAAUAUGUAGGAAUCUACCUAGAGGUGCGGGAUAACUUAGGGAAACUUAAGCUAAUACCACAUAAGCCCCAAGGGGGAAAGCAGGGGAUCUUCGGACCUUGCGCCUUAUGAUGAGCCUACAUCGGAUUAGCUUGUUGGUGGGGUAAAGGCCUACCAAGGCGACGAUCCGUAGCUGGUCUGAGAGGAUGAUC
rnacentral:rRNA from 1 species